CAGUUCGGAUUGUAGUCUGCAACCCGACUACAUGAAGCUGGAAUCGCUAGUAAUCGCGGAUCAGAAUGCCGCGGUGAAUACGUUCCCGGGUCUUGUACACACCGCCCGUCACACCAUGGGAGCCGGGAAUGCCCGAAGUCGGUGACCUAACCGGAAGGGAGGAGCCGCCGAAGGCAGGUCUGGUGACUGGGGUGAAGUCGUAACAAGGUAGC
rnacentral:rRNA from 1 species